CAUUGUGCACAACGCAGUGCAGGCGAUCCGUUCACAUUCUUUCCGAGGAACUACUCUUUAUACAUGCAACCAGGGACUGGUCCCCUCAGGAAACCCGAUAUCGCACUGUCAAGCAAACUCAACUUGGAGUCGGCCGGAUUUUCAGUGCAAUGAAGUCACAGUGCCUCCAACAACUACCACACCUACCACAAGUGCAACCACACAAGCCCCUGAUGUCCGUACGACUCGGCUGACUACCGUUUCGCUAAUAUCAUCGACGUCUUAUCUAACAAAUCAAUCAGAGUUUCGCGUCCAGUCUACAACAGUGCUCCCUGUAGUCUCAACUGAAGGAAAUACAUGGUCGCUGGCCAGUACGGCACACCCACCUGUUUACUCCGCUGUCCGUGACAUGGGUAAGAU